AGGAGUCACUGAGACAGGCUUAGGGUCAACCAGAGGGAGAGCUCAGACUUUCACCCAGUAGGGUGGGCGGUGGGAGGCUGGGGUGGCACGACCCUGAGGGAUGCUGAAGGACCCACCACUGCUCCUGUGACGGCCCCCUGACAUGUCUCGGGGAAGCGACACCCCCUCAAAUAUCCAACAGGAGAGAGGCCCCGUGCAGACGCCGGCAUGGGUUUUGGAUGUGGGCGAUUCUCACAGAUCCAUUUCCAGGCCUUGAUCUGAAGCUCGCUUCACACUGCUGCGCCUCAGUUUUCUCAUCUGCCAAGUGAGAGGUCUGGGUUUGGAGAUGAUUAUUACAGCUAAUAUUUGCUGGGCAUUCACUAUGUACCAGGCAUCACGCCAGAUGCUCUGCCUCGGUACGUCGUUCGGCCUUCACAUCCGCCCAGUGAGGGACUUUGCACAGGCCAUACAUUCCGCCCUUUCCUUUUUAACCCACUCAUCUUUGAGAGCACAACUCAACUGCUGCUUCCUUGGGAAAGCCUGCCUCAUCAUCUUUGCUAGGUCACACCCCCUCUCACCUUGCUGUGUGUGAUUAAGUGAUAAACGUCGGACUUCCCGGAUUGAUGCGUCGUCGUCCAGAGGGCAGUGCUGUGACGAUCCCAUUCCACAAAGCAGGAAGGAAGUGGGGCAAGGAGUGGGAACCUGUGGGAACUGGCAGAGCUGGAGUAAGCGCACAAAUGAGGUUGCCUCCAUCCUCCACCGCACUGCACACCCUGCAGCCACUGGCAGCCCCUCUCCCAGGCUAGAGGCAACUCCUUGGGGCGCAGCGUAGGAUCUUUGCCAAGCUUUGCCAAGAGCCAGACAUGGAGCUGGGCCCCCAGGCUGGGCUGAUCAUCACUGACCUCUGGACGGAGUAUCCACCCACACACCCAUUCCCUGGAGAGCCUUGGCCCGGCGCCUCAGCUCCCUGCAGAUACACCGUCUCUUAGCAGCAUCUCGGCUUUUACCCACAGACUGCCUCGAGAAAUUCCUGAGUGCACACACAGAAGGGUGCUGAAGACCCCAGCCACCUCGCCACCAUGCACUCUCCCACAAAGAGCCAGACUUCCCCGAGGAACUGGUGGGUUCCCCCUUUCUGAUACCAACACUCAUGUCACUGACCAUAUCUUCCUUUUGCUUUGGCUGCUGGGAAACUCAAAGCCAAAUUUGGAACUCAACUCAAGCAAUCAUCUUGCCUUCGUGGUGUUAUUUUUCUGUGUGAGCUUGAUGGUCUAUUUCCCAAAUCUCAGUUUCUAUCCUUCCUUCCUUCCUU
rnacentral:lncRNA from 13 species